rnacentral:rRNA from 1 species
UACGUAGGAGACGAGCGUUGUCCGGAAUUACUGGGCGUAAAGCGCGUGUAGGCGGAUGAGCAAGUCUGCUGUGAAAGCUCCUGGCUUAACCGGGAGUGGUCGGUGGAAACUGCUCGUCUGGAGGACGGUAGAGGUAGGUAGAAUUCCCGGUGUAGUGGUGAAAUUCGUAGAUAUCGGGAGGAACACCAGUGGCGAAGGCGGCGACCUGGGCCAACAUUGACGCUGAGGUGCGAAAGCGUGGGGAGCAAACAGG